GCACAAUGACAAAUGGAUAGUUGGUUGGACAGAGGAAAUGAUGAUCAAUGGAUGGAUGGAUUUUUAGAAAUGCAAGUAUUUUCCGUACAAACUACACAAAAACCCAUUUAAGCUAAAAAAAUAUGGCAGAAAUAGAAGAGUAAAUAAAAUAAACUCAAACAGUGAGGUCCAAAUCUUUCAUUUGACGCUGUUGUGACCCGACAUGAUCACCUUCCAUGUUGUUGCAACUUUCUUUUUUUUAAGUCUAUUUUGCAAAACGAACAAAAUAGAGUUGCAGUGAGAGGGAAGAGUGCAUGGAAGGACUAAUCAGAGCAAAAAACAGCAUCAUAUGACUGAAACUCCUGAAGCUCAUGCCAAAUUUAUUAAUACAGGCAGUAAACAAGUGCGGAGGGGAAACAGCGGACACAGGACGGAGAUAUGAGACGAAAAGACAAACAAGACUUUCGGCUCCGACCUGUAAGUGCAGCAAAACUCUUGACGGAGGAGCUCAGAGGAA